AUUGAACGCUGGCGGCAGGCCUAACACAUGCAAGUCGAGCGAGCGGCGGACGGGUGAGUAAUGUAUGGGGACUGCCCGAAAGAGGGGGAUAACUCCUGGAAACGGUAGCUAAUACCGUAUACUAUCCGCUUCCCCAUAUGUGAGUAGCUAGUAUGUGAGGUAAUGGCUCACCUAGGCGACGAACCCUAGCUGGUCUGAGAGGAUGAUCAGCCACACGGGGACUGAGACACGGCCCAGACUCCUACGGAGGCAGAAGUGGGGAAUAUUGCGCAAUGGGCGCAAGCCUGAUGAAGCCAUGCCGCGUGUAUGAAGAAGGCCCUAGGGUGGUAAAGUACUUAUGGCAGAGAGGCGGUAUCUGCAGAAGAAGCACCGGCUAACUACGUGCCAGCAGCCGCGGUAAUAC
rnacentral:rRNA from 1 species